rnacentral:lncRNA from 1 species
CCCCGCACCCGAAUCCCCAUAUAUUUUUUUUUUGCCGAAUUCCCGUAUCCCCGCACCCGCACCCGCACUCAUGCUUCAUAGGUGUUAGCUAUUUACAUAUCAUUGUGUUUUCGUGUGUGUUUUAGUUGUUCAUAUUAUUGGUGUGAGGAACAACACUUAGCAAACACGUUUUAACUUUUAAUGUUCAUAGUUCGAGAUAACAUCUAAGUGCUACAAGUAGAAUUCUCUAAGCAAAUUAGGCAAUCAACAAUGUUACUGGCAUUGGCGUACCACAAGUUUCACCACAUUAAACUACUAAAAGUGUUAUAAAAAAUCAAUAAAGUUCGGAAACCAAUAUAAAACAGAAACGAGACGAUAUUUUGAUCGACCAAGUAGAAAGGGUGGUGAAAUUUCUACUCAAAAAACCUAGCUAGCCUUCUAAACUACAUAAUUUCAAGUUCUAUACGCAUGCAUUAGUCAGCAUAUUACCUUAACCAUCAACUAAUUGUUGUCAAGAAUAUAGUGCAACAAAAGAUGUGGUAUCAACCGCAGUACAGGUCAAGAACGAUCCUCUAAGAUUCUUGGCUAGUGCAUACCCCUUACAUAACCAAGGGAUGCCUUUUUUUCAAGAGUUAAUUGGCAUAUGGAAUCAGUCCUUGCGGAUUCCAAAUGUAAAAUGUAUUUCACUCUCACGGCAGCGGGCAGACUUCAAAAUACCAAAGGCAAUAUAGUUUACUACUAGAAAAUCCAAAACUGCUAACACCUGUCAGGCCCCCGGACCACCCAGAAAAUAAAGAGAAGGAACAGGAGGAAGAACACAUGUCAAAGAAGAAAAAAUCACUACAACUACCAACACUAAAAUGGCGUCUUUCUCUCCGUCUUUAGUUACUCAGUUUCUUCAAGGGGAGAUCAAGUGUGUUCUGUAAUGAAGAUAUCCUAAAACAUCUGCCCUAAAACUGAGAUCACUGAUCCCUUAUACUAAAGUUUAGCAAAUAUUGUCUUCUCUUUAUUAAACAAAGUGUUACGGAUUACAUUCUCAAAAAGAGACGUGUUAAAUUCUCUAAAUUCUCAAUGGAGACAUGUUUCCCUAAGAUAACAGAUGUAUAACAUGUGAUUACUAAGCAAGAUUUUUUAAUCAGUACUUAAUUGACACUGCAAGCAAUGCGAACAAAGUAGUUAAAUAAUUUUACAAACAUAUAACAUGAUAAUAAAGAAAGAAUAGACACUCUCUUAGCCAAUGGAGCGAGUCGAAGUGGGUAGCGAACUUGCAACUCAAAAUCACAGGUUCGUCUGUGAUCAACUGAUACAAUAAGGCCAUAGAUUAAACUUCUUUAGGACAUCCAAUUGCAGAAGCCUGCAACUUUUAUUUAUCUGAUUCAUUAACCAAUUAACACAAAAAAGUUCAACAUUAUAGUGUCCCUCACUAAUGCCUAAUUUAUACUCACAAUCCUACUUGGCAUUGAUUUUCUCUCAAGUAUAAUUACUAUGUUUAUGCUCAUAUUAAAUUGCGAUAAGCAGGGGAAAUUUGAUAGCACCAGAUUUUAGUAUCUAAAAUUUAAGAAGCAUCACAUCAAACAGUUUGAAGACAUCAACUUAUAUACACAUACAGAAUAAGA